rnacentral:tRNA from 1 species
UCCAGGGUAGCCUAGUGGACAUGGCAUCUGCCCGGUAAGCGGAACACUGCGGGUUCGAUUCCCAUCCCUGGAC